CCUACGGGUGGCAGCAGUGGGGGAUAUUGCACAAUGGGGGAAACCCUGAUGCAGCGACGCCGCGUGUGGGAAGACGGUCCUCUGGAUUGUAAACCACUGUCCCCAGGGACGAAGAUGACGGUACCUGGGGAGGAAGCUCCGGCUAAAUACGUGCCAGCAGCCGCGGUAAUACGUAGAGAGCGAGCGUUGUCCGGAAUUACUGGGUGGAAAGGGAGCGGAGGCGGGACUGCAAGUUGGGUGUCAAAUCUACCGGCUCAACCGGUAGCCGCACUCCAAACUGCAGUUCUUGAGUGAAGUAGAGGCAGGCGGAAUUCCUAGUGUAGCGGUGAAAUGCGUAGAUAUUAGGAGGAACACCAGUGGCGAAGGCGGCCUGCUGGGCUUUUACUGACGCUGAGGCUCGAAAGUGUGGGGAGCAAACAGGAUUAGAUACCCGAGUAGUC
rnacentral:rRNA from 1 species